rnacentral:lncRNA from 1 species
UAUACUUCAAAUAUUUAUUUUCAAAUGAAAAACUUAGGUAUAUUUUUCUUCAUUGUUGACUGAACCUAGCUGUCCAUGCACCUUGAGAUUGAAGAUGGUUUUAGUUUGUAAAUUACUUUUCUCUCUGUUUUUCCAUUUUAAGGUAUUACACAAUGGCCUCAUUAUGGAGAUGAACCAUCCAGCAGUGGGGAAGAUUUCAGUUCCAGGCCCAGCUGUGAGAUACAGCAAGUUCAAGAUGUCAGAGGCCAGGCCACCUCCCCUGCUCGGGCAGCACACAACACACAUCCUGAAGGAGGUCCUCAGAUAUGAUGACAGGACCAUUGGGGAGCUACUCAGCGCUGGUGUGGUGACCCAGCAUGAGGCCAAGUGACACAGGAAAAAGGUUCUUUUUCAGAACCACAAUCGGAGUGCACUUUGCUGGCAAAGGCAGUUCUCCAUCUGGAUCCUUCUCCCCACAUCUGAUGCCACUGUGAAGCAGUUAGAGGAACUCCAGGAUUCCUGCCUGGCCUCUCUGGAAUGACUUGGAUGAAUGAGUCCACUGCACUUCAAAUGUACCCUACAUCAUUUUCCCUAUGAAUUUUUGUCAAAUAAUAGUCUGCAUUUGUGGAUUUUUUAAAAUAAAGAUUUAAUUUUGUUCUCACUCCAGAGAAGUAUGUAAGGUGACAGAUAUGUUAAUUAGUCUGGCUUGAUCCUUUCAUAUUGUAUAGAUGUAUGGAAACAGCACAUUGUACUUCAUAAAUACAUGCAAUUCCUAUCUGCUAAUUAAAAGUAAAAUAAAUUUUAAAAAGGGUUUAAUUGUUUUUUUCUGGAAAAAUACGCUCCUCAUUCUAAUUAUGCUAAUGACCUAAAUGUUUGCCUGUCCUGCCCACACAAGUGUGAAAAAGUGCAGAUCGCUUGACAUUCUCUACUUGUACAUAAAGUCCUCAUUUAAAUCUUUGUUAGGAAGUCAAAGUAAUAAGCAGGAUGACAGUCCUAGUGAUUGAUUUUAAACAGAAUAACUUAAUUUUGAGCUCUUGAACCCUUUAUUAGUGUGUAGUUUAAACCAUGGGCUUUGCUGAUGUCCCUUGUAAAACUGAGCUCCAUUCUCCGCUGUGGAAGUAAAUAUUUGCUUUAUGUUGUAUUUGCCUGGUGAUUUCAUGAUACAUGGCAGAAAAUCAAUUUCCACCAAUGCGCUUGGAGUGUAGGUAUCUGUCUGCGUGAGUGAGUGAGGAGUGACUCUUCAGUUGGUACCUUAUUUUGAGGCAUGUCCAAACACAACAGUCUUAAGUGAAUGCUGAAUAACUUUCCAGGUAUCAAAUAAUAUAUAAAUAAUGACAAAUAGGAGAAUGACAGGAAAACAUUUGUUCAUUAUAUGAGUGCCCACUGUAGAAGACUAUAUCAUGCCUAGUAUUUUGUCAACAAAUGCAAAGUACAGAAAAAUCCUCUCUCUAGAAGAUAAGAAGUGAUUAGGAUAUACCUUCCAGGAUAAAUUGCCAAGACUAGGUACAGACCAGAGAAUCAUACAUCCCAUGACUAGUAUCCUGACGUGACCUCAAUUCAUGUUGUUAGGCACACAUAUUUUAAAAGCAAUGUCAUUACAUACCAAGUGGUAAUUGAAAGCUAAGUUACAGAUGUUCAUCUUUCAAACAGUGAUUUAGAGCUCGUAUUCUUUUUGUGUUCUUUUCAAUUGGAAUGAUUUGAGUCAUUUAUCCAUGCUGUAAAGACCAAUAUGUUUCUAGAAUCAACAAUUUCAAACAAAUAAAAAGCUUGUCUCCUGACAAGACCUCGAGAGACAUUUUAGAAGAAUGCUUACAAAUUUUUGAAGCAAUUACGGUCUCCCUUGCUUUGCUGUUUGUGGACAUCCCUGAAGAACUCCUGCUGUUCUUCUAUUAGUGAGAAUUUCAUCACACCUGUCCUUUUCCCCCAAUGCCUAAUUCACAGAUUCAUGUUUGGAGACAUGUAUUUCAGGUGCUAUAUUCACACAAAAUUUCUUUGUGUUCACAUAAUUAGUAUAGAAAUCAGUAAAUGAUUGGAUACAGAGAGCUGGUAAAACCACACAUCCCAAAAGGCGGGUCUACUAUUUCUCCUACUGAUCC